UACGUAGGGUCCGAGCGUUGUCCGGAAUCAUUGGGCGUAAAGCGCGUGUAGGCGGCUGAGUAAGUCUGCUCUGAAAGCCCGGGGCUCAACCCCGGGAGGCGGGUGGAUACUGCUCAGCUCGAGUCCGGAAGAGGAGUGUGGAAUUCCUGGUGUAGCGGUGAAAUGCGCAGAUAUCAGGAGGAACACCAAUGGCGAAGGCAGCACUCUGGGACGGUACUGACGCUGAGACGCGAAAGCGUGGGGAGCAAACAGG
rnacentral:rRNA from 1 species